GACGAACGCUGGCGGCGUGCUUAACACAUGCAAGUCGAACGGAAAGGCCCUGCUUUUGUGGGGUGCUCGAGUGGCGAACGGGUGAGUAACACGUGAGUAACCUGCCCUUUACUUUGGGAUAACUUCAGGAAACUGGGGCUAAUACCGGAUAGGAGCUCCUGCUGCAUGGUGGGGGUUGGAAAGUUUCGGCGGUUGGGGAUGGACUCGCGGCUUAUCAGCUUGUUGGUGGGGUAGUGGCUUACCAAGGCUUUGACGGGUAGCCGGCAUGAGAGGGUGACCGGCCACAUUGGGACUGAGAGACGGACCAGACUCCUACGGGAGGCAGCAGGGGGGAAUAUUGCACAAUGGGCGGAAGCCUGAUGCAGCAACGCCGCGUGCGGGAUGACGGCCUUCGGGUUGUAAACCGCUUUCGCCUGUGACGAAGCGUGAGUGACGGUAAUGGGUAAAGAAGCACCGGCUAACUACGUG
rnacentral:rRNA from 1 species